GAUUAACGCUGGCGGCGUGCCUGACACAUGCAAGUCGAACGAGUUCUAGUUGCCCGCAAGGGUGACUAGCGCUAGUGGCGGACGGGUGAGUAACACGUGGGCAACCUGCCUGAGAGCGCGGAAUAACCCUGCGAAAGCAGAGCUAAUACCGCAUGUGGUUGUUGUUGGCAUCUUCUAACAACUAAAGUCGCAAGACGCUCUCAGAUGGGGCCCGCGGCCUAUUAGCUAGUUGGUGAGGUAACGGCCCACCAAGGCUCUGAUGGGUAGCUGGUCUGAGAGGACGGACAGCCACACUGGGACUGAGACACGGCCCAGACUCCUACGGGAGGCAGCAGUGAGGAAUUUUCCGCAAUGGGCGAAAGCCUGACGGAGCAACGCCGCGUGAGGGAUGAAGUCUCUAGGGAU
rnacentral:rRNA from 1 species